rnacentral:rRNA from 1 species
CCUACGGGAGGCAGCAGUGAGGAAUAUUGGUCAAUGGGCGCGAGCCUGAACCAGCCAAGUAGCGUGAAGGAUGACUGCCCUACGGGUUGUAAACUUCUUUUAUAAAGGAAUAAAGUGAUGCACGUGUGCCUUUUUGUAUGUACUUUAUGAAUAAGGCUCGGCUAACUCCGUGCCAGCAGCCGCGGUAAUUCGGAGGAUCCGAGCGUUAUCCGGAUUUAUUGGGUUUAAAGGGAGCGUAGAUGGGUUGUUAAGUCAGUUGUGAAAGUUUGCGGCUCAACCGUAACAUGGCAAUUGAAACUGGCAGCCUUGAGUACAGGUGAGGUAGGCGGAAUUCGUGGUGUAGCGGUGAAAUGCUUAGAUAUCACGAAGAACUCCGAUUGCGAAGGCAGCCUACUAAACUGCCACUGACAUUGAUGCUCGAAAGUGUGGGUAUCAAACAGGAUUAGAUACCCUGGUAGUC